UUCACCAUGUUGGUCAGGCUGGUCUCGAAUGCCUGACCUCAGGUGAUCCACCAGCCUUGGCCUCUGAAAGUGCUGGGAUUACAGAUGUGAGCCACCACACCCAGACGAACAUAGAUCAUUUUUUAAAAAAGUUUCACUGAGAUGAAGUUCAUAAAACAUAACAUCAAGUAUUUUAAAAAGAACAAUCAAGUGGUGUUUUGUACAUCCACAGUGUCUGAUCAUCAUGUGUAUUUAGCUCAAAAACAUUUUUAUUGCCCCCAAAGGAAGCUAUGCCCCAUGAAGCAAUCGCUCUCUAUUUUCCCCUCACCCCAACCCCUGGCAGUCACCAAUCUGCUUUCUGGUUCUAUGGAUUUGGCAAUUCUAGAUAUUUUAUACAAAUGGAUUUAUGCAAUACAUACUGUUUUGUGUCUGGCUUCAUUCACUUAGCAUAAUACUUUUGAAGUCCAUCCACAGUUUUGCAUGUAUUAGUACUUCAUUCUCUUUAUGGCUGAAAAUACUUCAUGCUAUGUAUAUACCACAGUUUGUUUAUUCAUCUGUUGACGGACAUUUGGGCUGUUUCCACCUUUUUGCUAUUUCAAAUGGUGGUGCUAUGAAGGUGUAUGUAGAUGGAUUUGUCUAGUCCCUGUUUUCAAUUCCUUGGCGGUAUAUUCGAGGUGUGGAAUUGUUGAACCAUAUGGUAAUUCUAUUUUGAGCUUCUUGAGGAACUGCCAAACUUUUCCUCAGAGGCUGAACCAUUUUAUAUUCAAUGUGCAAGUUUUCCAAUUUUGCCACAUCCUUGCCAACACUUGUCAUUUUCCGGGGUUUUGUUUUGUUUUGUUUUGUGAACACAGAUUUUGACUUUCAGCGUUCUUAUCUUAAGAGGUUACAGGAUUUGUCUUACAUUUUCCACUUGUAAUUUUUUUUAUCAUUAUAAUACUUGGCAUAUUUCAAGGCACGUGACUCAUAUCAUUAAAUGUUUUAUUGAUAAGUUUUCUCCAGAAAGUAUAAAUUCUCAUGAAGUGCUCACAGAUCUUAAUAACAAUAAAAUUUCAAAAUAUUGUUUAAACAAAGUUAGUUGUAAUUCAUUUUCAAGUUUAAGAAUCACAGUUGAAAUAACAGCUGAAUCUCUUUAUAAUUCUCAUUCUAGGAGAAAUAGGAAGGCUGCAGUGCCCAUCUGCGAGGGUUGAUGUGGAGGUGUUUACUUCCUUGGGUAGGAUAUUGGACAAGAUGGUUGCUAACGUCCUUUCCAACUAUGUUUUUAAAAUUAGAAUUUGAAUAUUUAUGGAGGCCUUUCUGAGAAAGUACAAAGCCCUGAGAAUAUUGUAAUGCAUAUGGAUUUUGCUAUCUUGUUACAUAGAGGAGAAUGGGAGCUGAUGACCCCAAAUCCAACCAAGAUGGGGUGUUACAAGUCAGAAGGUUAAGGGUCACUGCUCUGUGUGUUACCAGUGGAGGGUGUCCAGGUUCUUGGCAUCUUGAACAAAGAACUGGACAGAAUGCACAAACAAAACAAAGAAUGAAGCAACAAAAGCAGAGAUUUAUUGAAAAUGAAAGUACACUCCACAGGGUGGGAGCAGGCCUGAGCAUAGGGGGUCAAGAGCCUGGUUACAGAAUGUUCUGGUUUGAAUACCCUCUAAAGGUUUCCCAGUGGCCACUUGGUGUACGCUUCAUGCAAAUGAAGUAGUAGACUGCAGUCAGUUUGAUUGGUUGUGGAGAGCAACCAAUAAGAGGCUAAAGUGAAGUUACAAAGUUACACUUCUAUGCAAAUGAAGACUUGGCCCCAAUCAGUCUGAUUGGUUGCAGAAGGCAACCAAUUAGAGGUACUUUGAAUUUUCCAUCUGCCAUGCAGAAAAGGUGGGGGCGAUUUGCAAAGGGAAUAGCCUCUGGUCCUUUUGUUACUUAGGUGUGGAAAGUUGGGGUUUUCCUUAUGAUUUAGUUCUAAGAAGUCAGUGUGAUUCAGCCAUAGGUUUCCUGCCUCCAGAACCUAUUCUCCUGCCUCAUGUGGAGAGCCUGAGAGUAUAACAGGAAUGAAUAUUAUACAUAUGGAAACUCUUUGAGACACCCCUUUUGGCUUACUGUGAUAUCAGCCUGCUGAAGCCUUCCAUCAGCAUUCUCAAACCGCCGUGUAAGAAGUACCUUUCACCUUCCACCAUGAUUGUGAGGCCUCCCCAGCCACGUGGAAAUGGCAGGUGCAGAGGAUCCAGCAUGUUAUUCUGAAACCCCAGAAGACGCUGCAGCUACCAAAUAGAAGGAGCCUGGAUCCCUGAAUGUCUUCAUGGAACAGAACAUUCUCCUCACUCCAGUCUGUUUGAACCAGAAUAUGACCUGAGCAAGAAAUAAGCCUUAAUUAUAUUUGACCAUAGAAUUCUGGUGAUAUUUCUAUGGCUGUAAGUCCAUGUUGAUUAAUACAAAGGGAUGCUGUAAAGCCUCUUCUAUUAAAAAAAGUUGCCCAAGGAGUGAAAGGAGAGAUAUUUUCUGUAAUUAAGAUUUUCAUAAUACAUAGAACAGGCUAUAGCACCUGGCAAUCAAUCAUAUGGGGUACAACAGAAAGAGGAAACAUUCCUGCUAUUAAAUUAACCAAACUGGAGUUCUUGUUAUAUAAUAUAGUAAAAUUUCCUCAAUCUUUCAGCCACCUUUAGUUCUGUAAUCUAUUAUUUCUGGGUAAAAGCAUACCAUUUGAUACACAAUCCAAACCCAAUUCUUAAUUAAUAACGUGUAUCCACUGUAUCUUACCACAUCCCAAAUCAUCUAAUACUUAACCACCUAGUUUCUAUGUUCCACUUACAUCAAACAUAUUCAUGUUUGGAAAAUUGAGCCAGCAUCUACUGCCUUAUCAGCUGAUGCAUAACAAUUUACUUUGUCUGUGCUCUAUAAUAAUGCAAGUCUGCUUGGAAAGAUAACACGUUAAAGGGUUAUCAGACCCUAACACCUUCGUAUAGAUGAAUUUAUCAGAUCCUCUGCUAAACCACUUUCGAAUCCUUGGCCAGUUCUCUACAUUUCAUGAAGAGUUAGCAUAGCCAGUCCAGGAGAUAUUAUCUUCAGGAUGUGGUCAGUUGUGGAAAGGAAGAUAGCUCUGAGGAUCUCUUUCCAGGGAAAAGAAAGACAUGAGGAUUGCUCCAAAGAUCCUCUUUCUGGGGGAAAACGCACAUACUACAGAAAGGCUACAGAAAAAAAAGCACUCCCUCAGCAACAUAUUCACAAUCUAUUUUGUUGGAAUUACAGGCCAAUCCUUUUCAGACAGUUGAGUCCAGAGAGGACUGGGAGACUGCCUGACCCCAUGGGGUGCUUGACAAGGUCAGAUUCCAGGGCCUGGUAGGCUGUUAAAACCAAAGGGGGCCAGUGCUCAUGGACAGUGAGUUAAGAGGCUCCUGACACUGGGGGUCCUUUCAGAGCACAUACAGAAGGAGGAGUGUCCUUCUGUUACACAACCUGAAUUACUGGAGAAGGGCCCGCUGGUGUCGUUCUCCUCAAUACAAUGCACCUCCUACAAUGCACCUCCACUUCUGGGAGAGGGGAAGGGGGAAAAAGAGACAGAGAAGGAGGGAGAGAGAGAGAGAAAGAGAGCGCUGUCUCCCUCCCUUCCUUCUUCCUUCCCUUCUCUCUUUCCCUUCCUCUUAUCUCUCUGUGGAUCUCUUUCAAGUAUUCCUAGAAGAAUCUGGAGCUAAAAUGAGCCUGCGUCUGAAUUUUACUCCUGGCUCUGCAACUGAUAAGCUAUGUAAUCAAGUCCCUUCCCUGCUUCUUUCUUUCUCACACACACACACACACACACACACACAGUCUCUCAUCAAAUGCUUUGUGGGUUCUUACUCUGACAAGCCAGGCAUUGUGCUAGUUACAGGAGAUAAUCUGAAAGAAAAUAGCUCCUUCUUAUAAAAUGAUGAUAGACCAGGUGAUCUCACAGGUAUAUGUUGAUGAUGGCUAGUUUAGUCUUGCUAGCUCUGCUCAUGCACCUCCCUCCUUCAAUCAUGUACCUCCCUCCUUCAAAUCAAUAUCCUCACCUGCUUUCCCAAAGCCCUCUUGCUAUUCCUUCUCCCUCUGAGGUACCAUUUUUAGCCUAGUAUCAAAAGGCACCACAGCUCUUUCCGUCCCCCACGCCACCCAUCCUCUUCCCCAGCAUCAACACCAAGCUGCCCUGAAUGCUAUGCUUUCACUCUUUCCAUCAGCAUGCAGUUACUAAUCCCUUAAUGUGACCGGAGCAGAAGUCUAAAUAACUGCUCCAUAAUCCCCUAGUAUUUGAGCAUCCAAAAUAACAUUUGCAUUUUCAUCAGGGUCUUAAAUGGUCUGGUGGCUUUCUUUUUAUAAAUUAGUAAUUUAAGUAUUUAUUUUUUAAAAAUUCAAACACAGAUAUAGAUAUGUUUAUGUAGGACUACAUAAAGAUUUAUAAUUUUAUAGAAUUACAUAAACGUGAUUAUAUUAUAUAUAGCUUUUCAUUUUCUUUCUCUCUCUCUUUCUUUUCUUUGUAUCUUCUUCCUCUCUCCAACCUCCUCCAUACUAAUAAUUCUCAGCCACAAAUCCUCCACAAAACCAUGGAACCCAUGUUAACCUUUUAUGUAUCCUUCCAUAUUUUUCUCUAUUUGUCUAGACUCACACCAGUGUCUAAUGACAUAUGUGAAGGGAUGUUCUUGGAGUACUCUUGUUCGUGGCAAAGAAUGAUUGAAUGAAUUCUGGUACAAUAAUAUAUUUCAGUUAGGCUAGGCUGCUUGUUGAUA
rnacentral:lncRNA from 1 species